rnacentral:rRNA from 1 species
AGCAGCCGCGGUAAUUCCAGCUCCAAUAGCGUAUAUUAAAGUUGUUGCAGUUAAAAAGCUCGUAGUUGAAUUUCGGGAUCAAAUUGUCGGUCGUGCCUCGGUACGCACUGGCGUUAUUGGUUCCUCCCUUCUGAAGAACCGCGAUGUCAUUAAUUUGGUGUCGCGGGGAAUCAGGACUGUUACUUUGAAAAAAUUAGAGUGUUUAAAGCAGGCCCGCGCUUGAAUACAUUAGCAUGGAAUAAUGAAAUAGGACGUUUGAUUCUAUUUUGUUGGUUUCUAGGAUCGACGUAAUGAUUAAUAGGGAUAGUUGGGGGCAUUAGUAUUCAAUUGUCAGAGGUGAAAUUCUUGGAUUUAUUGAAGACUAACUACUGCGAAAGCAUUUGCCAAGGAUGUUUUCAUUAAUCAAGAACGAAAGUUAGGGGAUCGAAGACGAUCAGAUACCGUCGUAGUCUUAACCAUAAACUAUGCCGACUAGGGAUCGGAUGAUGUUAAUUUUUAAUGACUCAUUCGGCGCCUUACG